rnacentral:rRNA from 1 species
AUUGAACGCUGGCGGCGUGCUUAACACAUGCAAGUCGAUCGGUAACAGGUGUAGCAAUACAUGCUGACGAGAGGCGGACGGGUGAGUAAUGCUUGGGAAUCUGCCUAUUAGUGGGGGACAACCCGGGGAAACUCGGGCUAAUACCGCAUACGCACUACGGUGGAAAGCCGGGGACCGCAAGGCCUGGCGCUAACAGAUGAGCCCAAGUCGGAUUAGCUAGUUGGUAGGGUAACGGCCUACCAAGGCGACGAUCCGUAACUGGUCUGAGAGGACGACCAGUCACACCGGAACUGAGACACGGUCCGGACUCCUACGGGAGGCAGCAGUGGGGAAUAUUGGACAAUGGGGGAAACCCUGAUCCAGCGACGCCGCGUGGGUGAAGAAGGCCUGCGGGUUGUAAAGCCCUUUCAGUGGGGGAAGAAAAGCCUCGACCUAACACGUCGGGGUCUUGACGUAACCCAUAGAAGAAGCACCGGCUAACUCUGUGCCAGCAGCCGCAGUAAG